rnacentral:rRNA from 1 species
GAACCCCACUAUGCCUAGCCUUAAACUUUGAUAGUAAGACCUACUAUCCGCCAGAGAAUUACGAGCGAAAAGCUUAAAACUCAAAAGACUUGACGGUGCCCCAAACCAACCUAGAGGAGCCUGUCCUAUAAUCGAUGACCCGCGUUUUACCCCACCUGCCCUCGCACAAAUCAGCCAGCCUAUAUACCGCCGCCUUCCAGCCUACCUUACAAAAGUAACACAGCAAGCAAAAUAGCCCCUCCGCUAAAACGUCAGGUCAAGGUGUAGCUAAUGGGCAGGAAAGAGAUGGGCUACAUUCUCUACGCACAUAGACCACCACCCCCGGUAUCAUGAAAACAUACCUCAAAGGAGGAUUUAGUAGUAAUUUAGGCAAGACUUCCUAAAUGAAUCCUGCUCUGGGGCGCGUACACACCGC